rnacentral:rRNA from 1 species
UUAGAUUUCAUUGCUCUCUCCGAAACUGGAAGAGACAAUUUUUCUCCGCAGUUUCUUUCCUCUCUUGCGGGUGGUGUUGAUUUCGACUGGCAUUGCCUACCGCCACGUGGACGAUCGGGAGGCAUCUUGUUGGGAGUGAGAUGUGAUUCCCUUGAGGUCAGGAGUGUGGUAAUGGGAGACUUUGCGGUUAAGUUUCGGGUUAGGUCAAAAGUUGAUGGGUUCGACUGGGCUUUGGUGGCGGUGUAUGGAGCUGCACAGCCCGAAUUUAAACCGGAGUUUCUGGCGGAUCUUGUUCGAAUUUGUGGGUCCGAACAGCUUCCAAUGUUGGUCGGGGGUGAUUUCAAUAUCAUUCGGAGGAAAGAGGAGAAGAAUAAUGAUAACUUUGACGGGAGAUGGUCCUUUAUGUUCAAUACUAUUAUUGAGAGUUUGGACCUGAGGGAGAUUGAACUUUCUGGUAGAAAGUUUACUUGGGCUAAUGCGUUGCCAAACCCGACUUAUGAAAAGCUUGACCGAGUUCUCGCCAGCGUGGAGUGGGAACAGAAGUUCCCUCUGGUGACGGUACAAGCUUUAACGCGGGGAAUUUCCGAUCACACACCACUGUUUGUCGACUCCGGGGAGUCCAACUAUGUGGGAAACAAAAACACCUUCUCUUUCGAGAUGGCCUGGUUCGAACGUGAAGGGUUCUUAGACCUCGUUGCC